CACCGUCACAAGCUGGUUUGCCAACCGCCAUUAAAACAAAAAAGAAGAAAUUCACCGUCAUCUACAGACGCUGCACACACUGAUUCCGCCAUGUUGUUUUUCACUGGCACGACCCCAACUCGGGCCUCAAAGAAAAUCCCGCGUUUCCCCACUUGUAAUUACGACUUUGUUGUGGCGUUCAACUAGUAAAUAUGAUCUUUCCGACAUGACUUGAAAGCACCAUGACUGCCAGUAUUCCCGUUAAAACACAAACAAGCUGUCUUCCAGGUUAUUUCUCAAAGGUCGUGGGGGAGCUUGGAGCCUAUCACAGGGAUCUCAGGGCGCAAUACGGCGGACACCCUGGACAGGGUUCCAACCCAUCACAAGGCACAAUAGCACACACAUUCACAAACCUAUUCACAUACGGACAAUUUGGAAAUGCCAAACAGCCUACAGUGGUGGAGGAAACUGGAGUACCCAGAGGAAACCCCAGAAGCACAGGGAGAACAUGCCAGCUCUGUGCGCACACAGGGCGGAGGCAGGAUUCAAAACCCCAAACCCACGGAGUCACGAGGCAAACAUGCUAAGCUACCAUGCCCCCAGAUGCGCCACAUAAAUAGGUUAAAAACAUGUAAUCAUUGAUAUGGUGAGGCUUUCUGCAUUUAGAUGUUUAUUUAGUAUUUUUAGAAGGAGUCUCUGGUGUCAGUGUAUUGUAACAGUCAGAGGUAAAGCUGUAACACACAAAGGUCUUUAAGAUAGAGGAGUUUACGCACUGUGGUUUCUUGGUAACAUGACAAGCUGCAUUUUGGGUCUUUUUAAGUGAGAGAAAAAAAGACAGGCUGGUGAGGGAAUGACUGCUAUAAUUGUAGCUGGUAUAAUGUAAGUGAUAACAGGAACUAACUUGUUUCGCCCACUUUAAUAGGAACACCAGUAUACCUACUAGUUCAUGCAAUUAUCCAAUCAGCACAAUGCAUAAAAUCAUGCUGCAGUGAAACUAGACUAGCUGGCCAGGUUUGGAGAGCCUGUGCCGACUGCAACCUCCGAUUCUUGUUCUUGAAUGACAGGAGUGAAACCUUAUGUGGUGUUCUGCUCUUGUAGCCUCAAGGUCUAAUGUGUUGUGUGUUCUGAGAUGCCUUACUGCUCACCACGGCUGUAAAGAGUUGUUAUUUGACUUGACUUGACAAAGCUUUCCCAUCUGGUCAUUCUCCUUUUGACCUCUCUUAGCAACAAGGUGUCUCUGACCACAGAACUACCAGUCACUGGAUGUGUUUUUGUUUCUUUGUUUUUUCACACCAUUCUUUGUUAACUCUAGAGACUGUUUUGUGUGAAAAUCCCAAGAGAUCAGCAUUUUCUAAAAUACUCAAUCCAGCCAAUCUGGCACAAUUUCCCCCAUUCUGAUGGUUGAUGUGAACACAAGCUCUUGACCUAUUGCAGGAAAUUUUGGGCCACUUCAGCCUGCACUGGCCCUGCUAGCUCACAAACUUAAACUAUGAACUUAAUUAAGCAAUCUGACUUGUAUUUUUAGAGAAAUAACAUAGCAGAACUCAUGGAGACUGGAUUCAGAAGAAGCAGGUUUAUUCAGCAGUCAGCAGUCAGCAAGACAGCAGAAUGAACCCAGCUGGGCCCAGCUAGGCCCAGGGCUACACUCUUCACUCAAAGUGAAACAUGCAACAAAAACAAUCGUUUACAAUGUGUCUUAUAUACAAUUAAAGCAUCCAUGUACCUUUAGUGUGUGCCCUUAUCACAAUUCUGCACACCUUAUUCACUUACGUCUUUCUAUGGGCCCCUGAGUUUUUUUAGUGAAACUUUUGCCUGCAUCUGCUCGUCUCCUUUUGCUGAGUCACGAGUGCAUGCGGUCCUUAUCUAUUCCUAAUCGAUGGCCUUUGUCUUUUUUCUCUACUGUGUUCUGGGCGGGUGCUUUAUAUGUUUCAUUUUUAAUGUCUUUUAAAGUUAUCCUUGCAUCUAAAUGUAUGAUCCAAAACCAUCUACCCUGGUUCUUCUGGGCAGAACCCUGGAUCUCCCAAUAAGAAGAAAAAGAUAAAUACUUUUUCCCAAACAUACUUUACUGUGCCUUUCAUAAAGAAAAGAUACGCAUAUAUCAUAUGGUGCACAGACCCCCAGUAGCCCUCUGCUUCUAAAUACGCCCAAGUUACCCAGAUGCCCUGGACAAAAAAAACUAUGUUUACGCCAAGAACUUAUGUAAAACCCAUGAUUGUUAAAAAGUCAUUCUUUUAUGUGUUUUUAUUAAACUACACAAAGUUUUCAAAA